rnacentral:tRNA from 1 species
AGAAGUUGGGGAUAAACAAACCGAAAGCCUUCAAAGCUUUAAAUAGAAGUCUAACCAUCUAACUUCUG